UCACAAACUCACGCCUCACGCUCUCCUUUUCCCUCAUUUUUGGUUCUUUGCUUUCCUUCUUCGCUUCCUCUCGUGGACGGUUCUUUCUCUUUCAGGUUGUUGGUAGUUGGUACAUUCAUCACUGCUCCUCUGAGAGGAGAAAUCAAAUGUUCCACAUGGAGUGGAGGCUAGUGUGUACAAAUGUUUUCGUAUCUUGUGCUCUCAAUCACAAUUAAGAGCUGUGAAAUGGUCCAUCAGCAUGUAGACCGCUACUUUCUAUUUUGAUAAUAUAAUAUGAUAUAUAUGAGUUAUUAGUUUUA